GGAUGUCCAGAUAGUCUGGCGGGUUCUUGACGAGGGCCACGAGCCGGCUGUAGAUGUCCUUGAUGACGAGCCUCUGCUGUGGUUCUCUCUGCCAGCAGCCCUGCAUGAGGAGAUGCACUUCCUUCGGGCAGGCAGCAGUUGGCUGUAAAAAAGCACCCUCUUCUCUUCAAGGCUAUUCCUGGUUGCUAUUUAAAACGCCAGUGACUUCAAGCCCUUAUAGCAUUGCCUCUUAAUCAAAUGAGGUGAAGAGACUGUCAGCACCACACAACAUCAUUCAGAAAUGGGCUUUCAAUCACAGCAAUAAAUUAACAAAAAUUCACAUUGACCCCUCUGAGAGUCUGGCACCCUUUCUUCUUGCAGAUGGAAAGUUACGAACGAUCCGUCUCCGUCCCAAACAAUUAGACUCUAGACAAUUAGAUGUGUCCAUCAUGGCUCGAGAAGGAUUAGGUUAACAAGGUUAAACAACGUCGGCCCAAGGCAAAGAUGAGGUUUAAUCAGAUUAAAAUCGAGUCGGCGGGAAGGUGAUCUACCUCUCUGUUGAAAGAAGAGAGGCCUCUCCAGCGUAAUAGUGCAGUUGUGGUCUCACCAGAGUCCACUUUUUGGUGCCUAAUCUGAGAGGUCUGAUUCACUCUGGAACCGAAAAAAUGUAUUGAUCUUCUUGUUCAUAAGUGCUUAAGAGCACGGUCUGAUCCAGUCCAAAAAGGAUGUUCACAUCACGAUGAAGGUUGGGAAUAGCUCUGUCUGUUUGACCAGCACUGAUGCCUUCAGACAGUCCAAAUCACUUCUGCCAUUGCAGGUGAAGAUUUCCCAAAGGACCACUCCAAAGCUCCAGAUGUCACUCUCCGUGGUGAACUUCCUGUACAUGAUGCUUUCUGGUGGCAUCCAGCGAAUGGGCAGCAUCGUCCUCCC